rnacentral:rRNA from 1 species
CUGCAAGGUUCGAAACGGUAACAGAACAGCUUGUCUGUUGCUGACGAGUGGCGGACGGGGAGAGUCUGGGAAACUGCCUGAUGGAGGGGGAUAACUACUGGAAACGGUAGCUAAUACCGCAUAACGUCCAAGACCAAGAGGGGGACCUUCGGGCCUCUUGCCAUCGGAUGUGCCCAGAUGGGAUUAGCUGUGGUGGGGUAACGGCUCACCUAGGCGACGAUCCCUAGCUGGUCUGAGAGGAUGACCAGCCACACUGGAACUGAGACACGGUCCAGACUCCUACGGGAGGCAGCAGGGGGAAUAUUGCACAAUGGGCGCAAGCCUGAUGCACCAUGCCCGUGUAUGAAGAAGGCCUUCGGGUUGUAAAGUACUUUCAGCGGGAGGAAGGGAGUAAAGUUAAUACCUUUGCUCAUUGACGUUACCCGCAAAAAGCACCGGCUAACUCCGUGCCAGCAGCCGCGGUAAUACGAGGGGCCGCGUUAAUCGGAAUUACUGC